GAUGAAGAACGUAGCGAAAUGCGAUAAGUAGUGUGAAUUGCAGAAUUCAGUGAAUCAUCGAAUCUUUGAACGCACAUUGCGCCCCUUGGUAUUCCAUGGGGCAUGCCUGUUCGAGCGUCAUUUGUACCUUCAAGCUCUGCUUGGUGUUGGGUGUUUGUCUCGCCUCUGUGUGUAGACUCGCCUCAAAACAAUUGGCAGCCGGCGUAUUGAUUUCGGAGCGCAGUACAUCUCGCGCUUUGCACUCAUAACGACGACGUCCAAAAGUACAUUUUUACACUCUUGACCUCGGAUCAGGUAGGGAUACCCGCUGAACUUAAGCAUAUCAAUAAGCGGAGGA
rnacentral:misc_RNA from 1 species